rnacentral:rRNA from 1 species
AGAUUGAACGCUGGCGGCAGGCCUAACACAUGCAAGUCGAGCGGUAGAGAGGUGCUUGCAUCUCUUGAGAGCGGCGGACGGGUGAGUAAUGCCUAGGAAUCCGCCUAGUGGUGGGGGAUAACGUUCGGAAACGGACGCUAAUACCGCAUACGUCCUACGGGAGAAAGCGGGGGACCUUCGGGCCUCGCGCCAUUAGAUGAGCCUAGGUCGGAUUAGCUAGUUGGUGAGGUAAUGGCUCACCAAGGCGACGAUCCGUAACUGGUCUGAGAGGAUGAUCAGUCACACUGGAACUGAGACACGGUCCAGACUCCUACGGGAGCAGCAGUGGGAAUAUUGGACAAUGGGCGAAAGCCUGAUCCAGCCAUGCCGCGUGUGAAGAAGGUCUUCGGAUUGUAAAGCACUUUAAGUUGGAGAAGGUUGUAACCUAAUACGUUGCAACUUUGACGUUACCGACAGAAUAAGCAACCGGCUAACGUUCGUAACCAGCAGCCGCGGUAAUCUA